rnacentral:rRNA from 1 species
UAGGGAAUCUUCCACAAUGGACGCAAGUCUGAUGGAGCAACGGCCGCGUGAGUGAAGAAGGCUUUCGGGUCGUAAAACUCUGUUAUUGAAGAAGAACGUGUGUGACAGUAACUGGUCAUGCAGUGACGGUAUUCAAUCAGAAAGUCACGGCUAACUACGUGCCAGCAGCCGCGGUAAUACGUAGGUGGCAGGCGUUGUCCGGAUUUAUUGGGCGUAAAGCGAGUGCAGGCGGUCUUUUAAGUCUGAUGUGAAAGCCUUCGGCUUAACCGAAGAAGUGCAUCGGAAACUGGAGACUUGAGUGCAGAAGAGGAGAGUGGAACUCCAUGUGUAGCGGUGAAAUGCGUAGAUAUAUGGAAGAACACCAGUGGCGAAGGCGGCUCUCUGGUCUGUAACUGACGCUGAGGCUCGAAAGCGUGGGUAGCAAACAGGAUUAGAUACCCUGGUAGUC